ensembl:lncRNA
UUUUCUGCUUGGAGAUCACCUUGUUUGGAGUGUUUCGUGAGCUCUGAUCCCUGGCAAAGGGUAGCCGUCUGCUGAAAGCCAUUUAGCAGAUUUUUGGAGAAGAGGCAGUCACAGGCAGGUGAAGUCUCUAACCCACGUUCCACCCCGCUAACAUGAGCAACUCCGUAACUUAUAUCAUCCCGGUGCCGGUGCAGCGCUGAGCCCACGUGUAUUUACAUACACCAAGUACCCCGCUGCUCCGAACUCUCCGCUCGGAAGACAGGGCAAUUAAUCAUCCCCAAAUCCUCCCGCCGCGUGUGCCGCAGCUCCGACAGCAAGCAUAACCAAUCAGCCAGGGCAGGUGGGAUGCGGGCCCGCAGGAAAGCCCUGCACCCUGACCUAGCACUGGUGGGCUCCCUUCCUUCCCCCUCUCAUUGCUGAGCAAGAAUAACACCAUUAAUGGUGUCCUUGUAAUCAGCUAAACGUGCUGGAGUCGGGAGCAGGCAGAUACUGCUUUUGUGAUUUUCAGAGGAUGCGGUUUCUUUCUGUCUUAGUUGUGGUGUACAGGUUGAAAUCCAGCCCAUAAUGUAGAGAAACUGUGAUUUUGUACUUGUUUUCCACUUGUGAAUUGAAUUUGCUUCUUUGGUCAUGUGGCUGCAUUGCCUUUUGUACACCAAACCCAUCACAGAGGCAGCAAGAUGACUUGGUAACAAAUCAUUCCAUAGCAAUGACUUGGUUAAUUGUACAGACUGGCUAAAAUUGUCAGAUCACGGUGCCUCUGGCAGAUACAUCAAGAGCUGCUGUAUACCAUCAGCAGUACAUGCAUGGAGAUCAAAAUGCUCCUUUUUUUCCAUUCCUCUGUUUUUCUUGUUGCUACUUAAUGUUUCCCUCCUCCCCAGACUUCCUUGCUACACCUUUGUAUUCUUACCAUCCAUUUCCUUCAAUCUCUGGACUGAUAUUCCUAUCUCAUAUAAAUGCUACUAUUUAGUUCUACCGUUUCACUGCUCGGUCAGCCCACAUAUGGCAGGGUACCAGCACAGACUUUUUUUCCCCCUGUAACAUCCAUUCAUGGGGUCAGUGAGAAAGUGAAGUCAAUGGAAAGACACCCAUUGACACAACCCAUCGACACAACAGAGCCCAGGGUUGGGCUCAUAAAUUUGCUACGAAAGUUGUCUCAUUCCUUUCUGUAAAUUAUAGAGACCAUUGAAAAUAGCUCAAUAAAAGCAGC